rnacentral:rRNA from 1 species
UACGGAGGGGGCUAGCGUUGUUCGGAAUUACUGGGCGUAAAGGGCGUGUAGGCGGCGGAUCAAGUCAGGCGUGAAAGCCCCGGGCUCAACCUGGGAUGUGCGUUUGAUACUGAUUUGCUAGAGUCCGGGAGAGGCGAGUGGAAUAUCCAGUGUAGAGGUGAAAUUCGUAGAUAUUGGAUGGAACACCAGUGGCGAAGGCGGCUCGCUGGACCGGAACUGACGCUGAGGCGCGAAAGCGUGGGGAGCAAACAGGAUUAGAUACCCUGGUAGUCCACGCUGUAAACGAUGUUCACUAGACGUCGGGGGUUAGGCCUUCGGUGUCGCAGCUAACGCAUUAAGUGAACCGCCUGGGGAGUACGGCCGCAAGGUUA